GAUGAACGCUAGCGGCAGGCUUAACACAUGCAAGUCGAGGGGCAGCGCGGGAUAGCAAUAUCCUGGCGGCGACCGGCGGAAGGGUGCGUAACGCGUGAGCGACAUGCCCGUUGCCCGGGGACAACCGGUGGAAACGCCGACUAAUCCCCGAUGGGAUACGAUGCUUCAUGGCAUUGUAUUGAAAGUUACGGCGGCGACGGAUUGGCUCGCGUCCGAUUAGCUGGUUGGCGGGGUAACGGCCCACCAAGGCUGCGAUCGGUAGGGGUUCUGAGAGGAAGGCCCCCCACAAUUGGACUGAGACACGGCCCAUACUCCUACGGGAGGCAGCAGUGAGGAAUAUUGGACAAUGGGCGGAAGCCUGAACCAGCCAUGCCGCGUGCGGGAAGGAGGCCCUAUGGGCUGUGAACCGCUUUUGCCUGGGGGCAAUAAGGGCGUCGCGCACGUCCGAUGAGAGUACCAGGCGAAUAAGCAUCGGCUAACUCCGUG
rnacentral:rRNA from 1 species